UACGUAGGGUGCGAGCGUUAAUCGGAAUUACCGGGCGUAAAGCGUGCGCAGGCGAUUUUGUAAGUCAGAUGUGAAAUCCCCGAGCUCACCUUGGGAACUGCGUUUGAAACUACAAGACUAGAAUAUGUCAGAGGGGGGUAGAAUUCCACGUGUAGCAGUGAAAUGCGUAGAGAUGUGGAGGAAUACCAAUGGCGAAGGCAGCCCCCUGGGAUAAUAUUGACGCUCAUGCACGAAAGCGUGGGGAACAAACAGGAUUAGAUACCCCAGUAGUCC
rnacentral:rRNA from 1 species